UGCUCGCAUUCCUUGCCUCAUGGGCCUUGGAGAUCUCUCCAUCAAGAGCCUGCUAAAGAUUUCUCCAUCAGGUGUAGGCUCCAGGAACCUAAACGCAACAUGGAAGGAGGUCACCUUGCCUGAUAUCCUCCUAAGUCUUUAUUGAUAUUCUUGCUGGAUGCUAGUAUUGGUCAAAUCUGCUGCCUGGCGAGAGCAUGGAGUUAUGCCUCUUCAUGGACCCAGGUGGAAGGAGGCUUUAUCUCCAUAUUUCCAUAGUGGAUAGGGCAGCGGAAAGAAUUUCUGGAGAAGCACAUCUGCUCUCAGGUUUCUGUCUGGAAGUGACAUGCACAUCUUCUGAUCCCAAUUCAUCUAUCAAGAUGGAGACUGGGCUUGUCCCUGCACACAGCAGAUGCACCACCAACAUGUCUACCUGUUCCCCUCAUGAUGUGAUAUGACAUGAGUGCUGCAGGACUGUGUAUACCCCACGGCCACAACUGUGCCUUUAAAAUCCUGCACCUAACACCCACUGGUGGGGAAGGGGGAUGAUUUCAGUUUCAAAAAUCUGAGGAAGAUUUGGAAAUGUCUGGGGCCACGGCAUCUGGAAGUUUGAGCCAAUGAGUGCUGCUGGAUCCACGAGAG